rnacentral:rRNA from 1 species
AAGAGUUUUGAAGCUUGCUUUAGAACUCGGACAGCGGCGAAAGGGAGAGUAACGCGUAGUUAUGUGCCCUAGGGUCCGGAAUAGCCACGGGAAACUGUGGGUAAUGCCGGAUAAUAUCCCCGGAUCAAAGGUGUGAUUCCGCCCUAGGAGCAGACUGCGUCCUACUAGCUAGUUGGUGGGGUAAUGGCCUACCAAGGCAAUGAUGGGUAGCGGGUGUGAGAGCAUGACCCGUCUCACUGGGACUGAGACACUGCCCAGACACCUACGGGUGGCUGCAGUCGAGAAUCUUCGGCAAUGGGCGAAAGCCUGACCGAGCGAUGCCGCGUGCGGGAUGAAGGCCCUCGGGUUGUAAACCGCUGUCGUAGGGGAGGAAGGUUCCGUGAAGAGCGGAAUUUGACCUAUCCUAGGAGGAAGUACGGGCUAAGUUCGUGCCAGCAGCCGCGGUAACACGAACCGUACGAACGUUAUUCGGAAUUACUGGGCUUAAAGGGUUUGUAGGCGGCUUUGUAAGUCAGGUGUGAAAGCCCUCGGCUCAACCGAGGAACAGCGCUUGAUACUGCAAGGCUUGAGGGAGACAGGGGUAAGCGGAACUGAUGGUGGAGCGGUGAAAUGCGUUGAUAUCAUCAGGGACACCGGUGGCGAAAGCGGCUUACUGGGUCUCUUCUGACGCUGAGGAACGAAAGCUAGGGUAGCGAACGGGAUUAGAUACCCCGGUAGUCCUAGCUGUGAACGAUGAGCACUUAUCUGGGGAUCCUCCCAUAGGUUCCCGGAUGUAGCGAAAGUGUUAAGUGCUCCGCCUGGGGAGUA